ensembl:lncRNA
CAAAGCGCGACAAGCUUAACCGCCGCGAAUGCCCCAACAGCGAGACCGCUUCGUGGCAACACGUUCACGCUCUGUGCCGCCCCUAGAUGCGGGGCCUGGCGAGCCGUGGCACAGCGACAGUGUUGCCGUUCCCCCCCCCCUGGGAAGGAAGCAGUAUUGCCAGAUGGAGCCGUGGUCAGCUUCAAGUUGGGAGCCGCGGCCCAGGAUGGGCAAUUUGGACCCCACUCUGUGGCGGCAAUUUGUUCAGGACAGAAAUAACUCGGUCUUGAACUGAAAAUACACUGUGUUUCUAAUGCACCUCCACCCAAACGGGCGAUGGCACAAUCUCUGCAUAGAGGAGAGGAAAAAUACUAUUUGUAGCUCCACAACCAUGUUUGGCAAUGACUUCAAGAAAAGAAAAUAACUUUUACCACGUCAACCUCCCUUCUUUGCCGGUUAUUUUUUACCAUCAGCGGGCAACUACUGUACUCCUUUCCAUCAAAAUCAAACGUUAUUUUUAGAAUUCAUUCAAACCCUUAAUGAAAUCACUUUUGUGCUCCGAAGAGUCUGAUGUAUUCACGCUUCUGUGAGUGUUAAGACGCAGUCAUACACAUGAAUACAUCCCCGGUGGUUUACCCAUUCGCUGAGUUGAAGCUAUGAAAAAUGAAUGUUUAUUCACAACUUGCGCGAGGGCAUGUUUACCCUCGACGGUUGCAUGAUUAUUUGUACCCGCCACACACUCAGCACGGGUCUAUUAUUAGACCACAUGUAUAGAUCCUCUGUUGCAUUAUGUGUCAACCUGAUUCAUUCAUCCCAUCCCAAAACACCUGAGGAUCAUUUAUAAGAGCUGACAAAAAGGCGGGAGAGGAGCUCAAUCAUUUUGAAACCUUUAAACUUUCAAUGGAUGUCAUAGAGAAUAUUAAAGCCACCGCUUAUUUUUUUCCCUUGGCAUAAAAUGAUACGUACAGGGCCAUUGUGUGAGAGACAGAU